GCAUUGGUUCUUCUCUAUGGUUCCUUCCAGAAUGUCUGGAAAGUUCUUUGCUUGAGGUGCGAGACAGGAUCUCAUAUACGUGUGAGCUUUGCACGCUUUACGGACAUUCAAUCGUAAGCGCUUUGCUCGGUGACCGGUUAACGCGUCGUUUGUACUAGCGCUUUGGUCAAAACAAGAGGUAGCAGUCAUAUAAGCUAGGCGUUAACACACCAGGUCGGUGUUAUUGCUUUUGAGUACUAGUUAAA